rnacentral:tRNA from 1 species
UGGCUCAGAUGGUAAAGCGUCUGCCUGCAAUGCAGGAGACCCAGGUUCAAUUCCUGG